rnacentral:rRNA from 1 species
CGAUAUCGACGUAGUUUGAUCCUGGCUCAGAACACGCUGGCGGCAGGCCUAACACAUGCAAGUCGAGCGCCCCGCAAGGGGAGCGGCGGACGGGUGAGUAACGCGUGGGAACGUGCCUCUUGCUACGGAAUAGCCUCGGGAAACUGGGAGUAAUACCGUAUGUGCCCUACGGGGGAAAGAUUUAUCGGCAAGAGAUCGGCCCGCGUUGGAUUAGGUAGUUGGUGGGGUAAUGGCCUACCAAGCCGACGAUCCAUAGCUGGUUUGAGAGGAUGAUCAGCCACACUGGGACUGAGACACGGCCCAGACUCCUACGGGAGGCAGCAGUGGGGAAUCUUAGACAAUGGGCGCAAGCCUGAUCUAGCCAUGCCGCGUGAGCGAUGAAGGCCUUAGGGUUGUAAAGCUCUUCAGUGGGGAAGAUAAUGACUGUACCCACAGAAGAAGCCCCGGCUAACUCCGUG